AAUAAGUGUAAAUUUCGAGCAAAAGUGGUAGUUUAAUUUAUUAUCUAAUAUUUGUGUGUGUAACGUUAGUUGUCAGUGAUUAUUAUUCUAUUGUCGGAGAACAUAUAGUAACAUGAUCCGUAGGCCUGUGGUAGGUCCCAGGAGCAAGGAGUGGAAAUGUUGCUUCUGUCUCCACGUUCGGACUGCAACAAUAUGUCUUGGCAUUUGGCAUUUGAUGCUGCACUUGGUUGCACUAUGUGU